rnacentral:tRNA from 1 species
CGGGGCAUGGCUCAGCCUGGUAGAACGCUGCGUUCGGGACGCAGAGGUCGCUGGUUCAAAUCCUGUCGCCCCGA